GCGGGGGUGCCGGAGCGGUCAAACGGAGCAGACUCAAAAUCUGUUGGCUUAGUGCCUACAUAGGUUCAAAUCCUAUCCCCCGCA
rnacentral:tRNA from 1 species